rnacentral:tRNA from 1 species
GCGCCCAUAGCUCAACUGGAUAGAGCAUCAGCCUACGAAGCUGGUUGUUGCAGGUUCGAUUCCUGCUGGGCGCG